AGAUUGAACGCUGGCGGCAGGCCUAACACAUGCAAGUCGAGCGGAUGAGAGGAGCUUGCUCCUGGAUUCAGCGGCGGACGGGUGAGUAAUGCCUAGGAAUCUGCCUGGUAGUGGGGGACAACGUUUCGAAAGGAACGCUAAUACCGCAUACGUCCUACGGGAGAAAGCAGGGGACCUUCGGGCCUUGCGCUAUCAGAUGAGCCUAGGUCGGAUUAGCUAGUUGGUGAGGUAAUGGCUCACCAAGGCGACGAUCCGUAACUGGUCUGAGAGGAUGAUCAGUCACACUGGAACUGAGACACGGUCCAGACUCCUACGGGAGGCAGCAGUGGGGAAUAUUGGACAAUGGGCGAAAGCCUGAUCCAGCCAUGCCGCGUGUGUGAAGAAGGUCUUCGGAUUGUAAAGCACUUUAAGUUGGGAGGAAGGGCAGUAACUUAAUACGUUGCUGUUUUGACGUUACCGACAGAAUAAGCACCGGCUAACUCUGUGCCAGCAGCCGCGGUAAUACAGAGGGUGCAAGCGUUAAUCGGAAUUACUGGGCGUAAAGCGCGCGUAGGUGGUUCGUUAAGUUGGAUGUGAAAUCCCCGGGCUCAACCUGGGAACUGCAUUCAAAACUGUCGAGCUAGAGUAUGGUAGAGGGGUGG
rnacentral:rRNA from 1 species